rnacentral:rRNA from 1 species
UACGUAGGGUGCUAGCGUUGUUCGGAAUUAUUGGGCGUAAAGCGGGUGUAGGUGGUUUGUUAAGUCAGAUGUGAAAUCCCUUGGCUCAACCAAGGAAGUGCAUCUGAAACUAUCAAGCUAGAGGACGGCAGAGGGAGGUGGAAUUCCUAGUGUAGAGGUGAAAUUCGUAGAUAUUAGGAGGAAUACCGGUGGCGAAGGCGGCCUCCUGGACCGUUCCUGACACUGAGAUCCGAAAGCGUGGGUAGCAAACAGG